rnacentral:rRNA from 1 species
AGACGUAGGGGGCGAGCGUUGUCCGGAAUUACUGGGCGUAAAGAGCACGUAGGCGGAUAUUUAAGUCAGUUGUGAAAGGCCGCAGCUUAACUGCGGGGUUGCAAAUGAAACUGGGUAUCUUGAGGGCAGGAGAGGUCAGUGGAAUUCCUGGUGUAGCGGUGAAAUGCGUAGAAAUCAGGAGGAACACCAGUGGCGAAGGCGGCUGACUGGACUGACCCUGACGCCGAGGUGCGAAAGCGUGGGUAGCAAACAGGAUUAGAUACCCUGGUAGUCCACGCUGUAAACGAUGGAUACUAGGUGUGGGAGGUAUCGACCCCUUCCGUGCCGGAGCUAACGCAAUAAGUAUCCCGCCUGGGGAGUACGGUCGCAAGGCUGAA